CAAAAAUGUUUAUUAAAUAUUUAUUAAAUUUCCCUUUUUGUUGUGUGUUGGUCUCUGUAGUCUGGGUGAUUAUUUGUCUUUGCAAACAGUGAGGAGCUAUGAGAGCAGGAAUCGUAGUCCUAUUUAGCUAAACCUAUUACUAAUGUCCUGGGAAAUGCUCUCAAUUCUAGGUUCUGUAGCUGAUGUCUCAUCUAACAUCUCCCAAAGUUCUGGGUUGGGCAAAAGUUACAGAAAUUUCCAGUUUCUAUUAAAGUCUUUUCCUGUGCUUUUAUUAAUUUAGGCUGUUGUUGCUAUAAUACAUCAUUUUAUCCUCAGAGGUGAAAUCUGUCUAAAAUACAGACGGGAAUAUUUCAAUAAGAAUUUUCUUCCAACUACUUUAGCCCUCUGUCUAUAACCAUUCUGGCAUGUACGCGGAGGACCGCUUCCCACUUUGCGUUAAGUGUUAUUCAGUCCAUCACUUCCUGUUGAGAGAAGGAAGUUCCAGGACGCAGAGCUAGUCCCCCGGGUGCUGCUAGUAGACGGUCAUCCUCGGUUCCACCUUCUGGGAAGGAGGUCAGCUUCACCUCUCCUCCUCCUUUCCACCAACCUCAGAAGGGAACUUGGACUUCUGGCCUCUAAAGAUGAAUAUACUGACUGUGGCCCAACACCAGACACCUGGCUAAGCUCAUGAAAGAGCCAUUGGUUCAAACAGCCAGUUUUAUAUUCUUGGCCAGCUGUCGACCCUGCCCCAACCUGGGCUGGGGCUGGGGGAAAUCAGAGGAAGGACUGAAGCAGUAGCACAUUCCAGGUCCCUCUUGGAAACCAGACUGUUGUAUCUCGAGAUUGCCUUUCCCCUGAGUAAAAGGAAAUCACAGGUGAGGGUUCUUCUGCAAGAAGAACAGUUUCAAAGCCUCUGAUUCUUGCCUGCUGGAAUAGCACGUGGUAGGACUGGCGCUGGGAGCAGGUCUAGACCAGUCCCAGCGGGCAGGAGACAGCACUCACUCAUCUGCAGGAUCCCAGCUCGUUCAACAAAAAAGCGAGAGUGGCAGAUGGAGGACAUGUUUUCAUCUUGUUGCAUCUUUAAACAGAUGGACCCUUUUUGAAAGACAUAAGCCCUGUUAUCAUUAAGAAUUAGAUCGUAGGAAAAAUAAAACUUAAAAAAUUCCAUACUUGACCAAUAAAGGGACUAACGCAGUAAUUCACACAGGGUUAAAAAGGACAUUUUUAGUCAUUUGAGAAAGCAUUACAAAAUGUGUAAAUCAAACUUACGUAUCCU
rnacentral:lncRNA from 1 species